rnacentral:snoRNA from 1 species
AGCCUCUCAAGGUCUCACUUGGAGAGUUUCCAGUACUCUACCAGUCUUGACUACAGGAGCAAGAGUCAAGCAGAGACAUACCCAUUCCAUUCCUAACUUGGGCAGUGGCUAGUGAGUGGAAGGCAAUCUGCUACAAGU